rnacentral:rRNA from 1 species
UAUUGCACAAUGGGGGAAACCCUGAUGCAGCGACGCCGCGUGAAGGAAGAAGUAUCUCGGUAUGUAAACUUCUAUUAGCAGGGCAGAAAAUGACGGUACCUGACUAAGAAGCCCCGGCUAACUACGUGCCAGCCGCCGCGGUAAUACGUAGGGGGCAAGCGAUAUCCGGAUUUACUGGGGUUAAAGGGAGCGUAGACGGAAGAGCAAGUCUGAUGUGAAAGGCUGGGGCUUAACCCCAGGACUGCAUUGGAAACUGUUGUUCUAGAGUGCCGGAGAGGUAAGCGGAAUUCCUAGUGUAGCGGUGAAAUGCGUAGAUAUUAGGAGGAACACCAGUGGCGAAGGCGGCUUACUGGACGGUAACUGACGUUGAGGCUCGAAAGCGUGGGGAGCAAAC